GACGAACGCUGGCGGCGUGCUUAACACAUGCAAGUCGACAUGAGUGGCGAACGGGCGAGUAAUAGGAGGGUAACCUGCACUCCUUUUCGGGAUAAGCCUUGGAAACGGGGUCUAAUAUCUAAGAAAGGGGGAUGGGCUCGCGGCCUAUCUGUGUGUUGGUGGGGUGAUGGCCUACCAAGGCGGUGGCGGGUAGCCGGCGUGAGAGGGUGACCGGCGACAGUGGGACGUGGUGACGGCCCAGACCGCUACGGGAGGCAGGCGUGGGGGAUAUUGCACAAUGGGGGAAAGCCUGAUGCAGGGACGCAGCGUGGGGGAUGAAGGGUGUCGGGUUGUAACGCUCUUUCGCAAUCGAACGGGUAGGUGGAGAAGAAGAGCCGGCUAACUACGUGCCAGCAGCCGCGGUAAUAC
rnacentral:rRNA from 1 species